UACGUAGGGUCCGAGCGUUGUCCGGAAUUAUUGGGCGUAAAGAGCUCGUAGGCGGUCCGUUAAGUCGGAAGUGAAAUCUCAAGGCUCAACCUUGAAAUCGCUUUCGAUACUGGCGGACUUGAGGCAGGUAGGGGAAGGUGGAAUUCCUGGUGUAGCGGUGAAAUGCGCAGAUAUCAGGAGGAACACCGGUGGCGAAGGCGGCCUUCUGGGCCGACCCUGACGCUGAGGCGCGAAAGCGUGGGGAGCAAACAGG
rnacentral:rRNA from 1 species